UACGUAGGGAGCAAGCGUUGUCCGGAAUUACUGGGCGUAAAGGGCGCGUAGGUGGGCGCUUAAGUCAGGUGUGAAAACUCCGGGCUCAACCUGGAGACUGCACUUGAAACUGGGUGUCUUGAGGGCAGGAGAGGAAAGUGGAAUUCCUAGUGUAGCGGUGAAAUGCGUAGAGAUAUGGAGGAACACCAGUGGCGAAGGCGGCUUCCUGGUCUGCAACUGACACUGAGGCGCGAAAGCGUGGGGAGCAAACAGG
rnacentral:rRNA from 1 species